AUUGAACGCUGGCGGCAGGCCUAACACAUGCAAGUCGAGCGGAUGAGAGGAGCUUGCUUCUCGAUUCAGCGGCGGACGGGUGAGUAAUGCCUAGGAAUCUGCCUAGUAGUGGGGGACAACGUUUCGAAAGGAACGCUAAUACCGCAUACGUCCUACGGGAGAAAGCGGGGGAUCUUCGGACCUCACGCUAUUAGAUGGGCCUAGGUCGGAUUAGCUAGUUGGUAGGGUAAAGGCCUACCAAGGCGACGAUCCGUAACUGGUCUGAGAGGAUGAGCAGUCACACGGGAACUGGGACACGGUCCAGACUCCUACGGGAGGCAGCAGUGGGGAAUAUUGGACAAUGGGCGCAAGCCUGAUCCAGCCAUGCCGCGUGUGUGAAGAAGGCCCUCGGGUUGUAAAGCACUUUAAGUUGGGAGGAAGGGCUUACAGCGAAUACCUGUGAGUUUUGACGUUACCGACAGAAUAAGCACCGGCUAACUUCGUGCCAGCAGCCGCAGUAA
rnacentral:rRNA from 1 species